rnacentral:rRNA from 1 species
GUACACGCUGUGACUAGCAUAUCAAUAAGCGGAGGAAAAGAAACUAACAAGGAUUCCCCUAGUAACGGCGAGUGAAGCGGGAAGAGCUCAAAUUUGAAAUCUUAAAGGGUUUCCCUUUACGAAUUGUAGUUUAAAGAAGUGUUUUCUGUUGAGGUUUUGGUAAAAGUUCUUUGGAAUAGGACAUCAUAGAGGGUGAGAAUCCCGUAUUUGACCUUUACUUUCAACUUUGUGAUACACUUUCAAAGAGUCGGAUUGCUUGGGAAUGCAGUCCAAAAUGGGUGGUAAAUUUCAUCUAAAGCUAAAUAUUGGCGAGAGACCGAUAGCGAACAAGUACCGUGAGGGAAAGAUGAAAAGAACUUUGAAAAGAGAGUUAAACAGUACGUGAAAUUGUCAAAAGGGAAGCGUUUGACACCAGUGUUGUUUUUCUGAAAAUCAAUUAAAGAACUGUUCAUGCUAAGUUGUUUAGACUUUAUCAGCUAACUGUUUAGUUUUGAGCUUUUCUUUAAUGCACUUUUCAGUUAACAAGUCAACAUCAAUUUCUUUUGCUGUAAAAAAGCUUGAGGAAGGUGGCUUGAGAUUCGUCUUAAGUGUUUAUAGCCUCUUGCCUAUGCAGUCGGAGAGAUUGAGGUCUGCAGCGUAGAUCCUUCGGGGCUAAAUGCAUUUGUGCUAAGUUAUAGCAUUUCAUAGACAACUUGUUGGACUAUGAUUUGUCUUGUAGCUUACUCGCUUAUGUUAUUUUACCUACGCUUAGGAUGUUGACAGCAGUAUAGACUGU